GAGCUUGCUCCUUGAUUCAGCGGCGGACGGGUGAGUAAUGCCUAGGAAUCUGCCUGGUAGUGGGGGACAACGUUUCGAAAGGAACGCUAAUACCGCAUACGUCCUACGGGAGAAAGCAGGGGACCUUCGGGCCUUGCGCUAUCAGAUGAGCCUAGGUCGGAUUAGCUAGUUGGUGGGGUAAUGGCUCACCAAGGCGACGAUCCGUAACUGGUCUGAGAGGAUGAUCAGUCACACUGGAACUGAGACACGGUCCAGACUCCUACGGGAGGCAGCAGUGGGGAAUAUUGGACAAUGGGCGAAAGCCUGAUCCAGCCAUGCCGCGUGUGUGAAGAAGGUCUUCGGAUUGUAAAGCACUUUAAGUUGGGAGGAAGGGCAGUAAGCUAAUACCUUGCUGUUUUGACGUUACCGACAGAAUAAGCACCGGCUAACUCUGUGCCAGCAGCCGCGGU
rnacentral:rRNA from 1 species